rnacentral:rRNA from 1 species
UACAGAGGUCUCAAGCGUUUGUUCGGAUUCAUUGGGCGUAAAGGGUGCGUAGGCGGCGCGGUAAGUCGGGUGUGAAAUCUCGGAGCUUAACUCCGAAACUGCAUUCGAUACUGCCGUGCUUGAGGACUGGAGAGGAGACUGGAAUUCAUGGUGUAGCAGUGAAAUGCGUAGAGAUCAUGAGGAAGACCAGUGGCGAAGGCGGGUCUCUGGACAGUUCCUGACACUGAGGCACGAAGGCCAGGGGAGCAAACGGGG